GUAAACCUGGAAACUACCAUUGGAUUGAAAAAUGGACGUCUGAGAUUCGUCCACGUCACCACGGAUACAAAUUUUACUAGUAGGUUUACAUUUUUACUCAUGGUGACAUGUACGAAAUCUCAGACGUACAUUUUUCGAUCCGAUGGUAAUUCUAGGUUUCU
rnacentral:pre_miRNA from 1 species